GAUGAACGCUAGCGGCAGUCUUAACACAUGCAAGUCGAGGGGUAGAGGCUUUCGGGCCUUGAGACCGGCGCACGGGUGCGUAACGAGUAUGCAAUCUGCCUUGUACUGGGGGAUAGCCCAGAGAAAUUUGGAUUAAUACCCCAUAGUAUUUUCGGUUGGCAGCAACUGAUUAUUAAAGUUUUUCGGUACAAGAUGAGCAUGCGUCCCAUUAGCUAGUUGGUAUGGUAACGGCAUACCAAGGCUACGAUGGGGAGGGGUCCUGAGAGGGGGAUCCCCGACACUGGUACUGGGACACGGACCAGACACGUACGGGAGGCAGCAGUGAGGAAUAUUGGUCAAUGGUCGCAAGACUGAACAAGCCAUGCCGCGUGCAGGAUGAAGCAUCUAUGGUGUGUAAACUGCUUUUGUACGGGAAGAAACACUCCUACGUGUAGGGGCUUGACGGUACCGUAAGAAUAAGGAUCGGCUAACUCCGUGCCAGCCGCCGCAGUAAUAC
rnacentral:rRNA from 1 species